rnacentral:rRNA from 2 species
GUCUGUUUGAAGGUAUAAAAAGUUUAACCUGCCCACUGAUAAAUUUUUUAAAGGGCCGCGGUAUCCUGACUGUGCAAAGGUAGCAUAAUCGUUAGUUUUUUAAUUGGAAUCUUGUAUGAAUGGUUUGACAAAAGAAAAUCUGUCUUUAUAAUUAUUUAUUGAAUUUAACUUUUAAGUGAAAAGGCUUAAAUAAAUUAAAAAGACGAUAAGACCCUAUAAAGCUUAAUAUUAAAUUUUUAUUUAAUUAAAUUUUGAAUUAUAAUAAAAAUUUGGUAAAUAAAUUUUAUUUUGUUGGGGUGAUAAUGGUAAAAUGAUUAUUAACUGUUAAUUUUUUUAGACAAAAAUAAGUGAAUAAGUGAUUUAUUAAUAAAGGAUCCUGUAUUAAAGAUUAAAAGUUUAAGUUACUUUAGGGAUAACAGCGUUAUUUUUUUUGAGAGUUCUUAUCGAGAAAAAAGUUUGCGACCUCGAUGUUGAAUUAAAAUAUCUAUAUAAUUGUAGCAGUUAUAUAAGAAGGUCUGUUCGACCUUUAAAAUUUUACAUGAUUUGAGUUCAGACCGGCGUAAG